rnacentral:rRNA from 1 species
UACAGAGGGUGCAAGCGUUAAUCGGAAUUACUGGGCGUAAAGCGCGCGUAGGCGGCUUUGCAAGUCGGGUGUGAAAUCCCCAGGCUUAACCUGGGAACUGCAUUCGAGACUGCAUUGCUAGAGUAUGGGAGAGGGAAGUGGAAUUUCCGGUGUAGCGGUGAAAUGCGUAGAUAUCGGAAGGAACAUCAGUGGCGAAAGCGACUUCCUGGACCAAUACUGACACUCAGGUGCGACAGCGUGGGGAGCAAACAGG